rnacentral:rRNA from 1 species
CAACCUGAGAGUUUGAUUCUGGCUCAGAACGAACGCUGGCGGCAGGCUUAACACAUGCAAGUCGAGCGCCCUGCUUGCAGGGAGCGGCAGACGGGUGAGUAACGCGUGGGAACAUACCUUUCGGUUCGGAAUAGCCCCGGGAAACUGGGUGUAAUACCGAAUACGUCCUUAGGGAGAAAGAUUUAUCGCCGAAAGAUUGGCCCGCGUUAGAUUAGAUAGUUGGUGAGGUAACGGCUCACCAAGUCGACGAUCUAUAGCUGGUUUGAGAGGAUG